GGUGAAUACGAGCGAGGGACACGAGGCCCACCUCCCAUCCGUGUUGAACUACACCUGUUGCUUCGGCGGGCCCGCCGUGGUUCACGCCCGGCCGCCGGGGGGCCUUGUGCUCCCGGGCCCGCGCCCGCCGAAGACCCCUCGAACGCUGCCCUGAAGGUUGCCGUCUGAGUAUAAAAUCAAUCAUUAAAACUUUCAACAACGGAUCUCUUGGUUCCGGCAUCGAUGAAGAACGCAGCGAAAUGCGAUAAGUAAUGUGAAUUGCAGAAUUCCGUGAAUCAUCGAAUCUUUGAACGCACAUUGCGCCCCCUGGCAUUCCGGGGGGCAUGCCUGUCCGAGCGUCAUUGCUAACCCUCCAGCCCGGCUGGUGUGUUGGGUCGACGUCCCCCCCGGGGGACGGGCCCGAAAGGCAGCGGCGGCGCCGCGUCCGAUCCUCGAGCGUAUGGGGCUUUGUCACGCGCUCUGGUAGGGUCGGCCGGCUGGCCAGCCAGCGACCUCACGGUCACCUAUUUUUUCUCUUAGGUUGACCUCGGAUCAGGUAGGGAUACCCGCUGAACUUAAGCAUACAUAAACCGGGAAAGAAAAAAAAUAUAAUGCCG
rnacentral:misc_RNA from 1 species